CGCUCCGUAGUCACGCGGCGACAUCUUUGAUCCGGGCCUGGCGGAAGCCUCUCCCUGUCCUCCCGCGGGCCGUACGCUUGCCCUGGGCUUGUUUGCGAGGAACAGGAGCCAAGCCGAGUCGGAGAGCCGGGAACAGCCGCUCGCGGUGAACGUCCGGGGCACCGAGGCGGCCCAGCCCGAGAGGCGGACGCGUGGAGGGAAGACGCUGGGUCUGGGUGCGAAUCCCCAGCUCGGCCGCCGCUCCCGGGGGAGCUCCAAAAAGCGUAAGCUCCAGGGAUGAGCCGGAGCACGGCCGCAGGACUUGGGGCCGGCUCCAGGGGGCGCCAGUGCUCCGACCCCGGCUGGGAGCCCCAAGCCCGCGCCCGACUCCGGCGCUCCCUCCGCCGGCUGGUCGGCUUAGACGGGCCGAGCCCCCCCCCCACAGACCCACACUCAGGCGCCCGCGCGCGCUCCCUGUUGUCUGCCAUUAGUCAGGCCUGGGGCGCCCCGCGAGCCCCGCCCCCCAGCGCCCUUCGUCCUCCUGGACGAGCGGCCAUGUAAAGCGCCGGUGCUUUUGCCAGCCUCCUCCCGAAUCCGCCCGUGACUGUGGGAGCCCCUCCCCGCGGCCCGUCCUCAUUCCGGCCUAACGAGCGCGUACCGCCCGAGCCGACAGCGCGCGCCCGCGGGAUAAACGCCCUGACGGGCGAGCGCGGCCCGGCGCUGACGGCCGCGGCCGCUUAUCCCGCCCCUCCUGGCGGCGGCGGCGGACCGGGCCCGGUGUCGGACCCGGCCCGCUGUCGGACCCGGCCCGCUGUCGGACCCGGCCCGCUGUCGGUAGCGCCGAGGCCCGGCCCGCCGCCGCGGCCCCGUUUCCCGUGAUGCUCUGCUCCCGACAUAUGUAAAUCGGAGCGUUUCUGGUGCCAUCGCGAGCUGUCAGAGUGACAGAACAGGCCCGGGAGCUCCGGCUCUGGGACAGCUCGGGCCCGACACCAGGAGGAGAGCCGGCGCUCACAAUCAAAUGGCUUCUCACUGUGCCUUUCCUGACUCACCAUUUAGCGAAGGCUUCAACUUGUCUGUUUGUUUUUUCCUACAGGAUAAACUCUAAGCCCAGCCUCAAUAGAGUAAGUUUUACCCUCUUCCCCCUUCUUCUCUAUCAUUUACAUCCUCAGUGACAAACCACAAUCAUUCGCCAUUUUCACUUCCUCCUCAAUCUGGACCAAAGCUUUGAAAUCCUUGAUGGACUCUCCGGGGGAAUCCUUCAUGGACUCUCCAGGGGAAUCCUUCAUGGACUCUCUGGGGGAAUCCUUCAUGGAAUCUCCAAUCCUUGAUGGACUCUCUGGGGGAAUCCUUGAUGGACUCUUCAGGAAAAUCCUUGAUGGAUUCUCUGGGCAAAUCCUUGAUGGACUCUCCAAAUCUUGAUGGACACCCUGGAGAAAUCCUUGAUGGACUCUCUGGAGAAAUCCUUGAUGGACUCCAAGGAAAUCCUUGAUGGACUCUGGGGAAAUCCUUGAUGGAUUCUCUGAGUCUCCAGCCCCCUGGGUCCCCAUUGGAUACUCCCCAGUUCUGCCUCUAACUCAUUGUCAGGGGAGUUGUGAUGAACAGCCGGUCUUCAGAACUGGGCAUCUCAGCUCAAUCCUUGAAGUACCAAUCCCACUUAGCCCUUCCUGUUUUUCUUUCCUUACUUCCACUCACGGGUCAGUGUGCAGCCGGGGCUGCCAAGAAGUAACAAAGAUGCUUGAGGGGAAUGUUAGGAAAUCGCAGACCUCAGUGGUGAGGAGGGUCAGGGAGGGAACAUGUGCUGGCUAUGUGUUGACAUUGGGAGAAAAUGCAGCCAGCAGCAUGAGUCAGGUAAUGGAUGAGGUCAGGAGGAGGGAGGGGAUAUGCAGGUUAGCCAGGACAGGGCUACUAGGGAUUCCAGGAAUUAAGAAGAAGCUGAGAGUUGGUCUCUAGGGAAAAGGCCCACUCUGUGAGGGGAGAUUUAUAUUACGCAGGGGCACGGACAUCUGUGCUCAUUUUAAAACAUUUUACUUAGAGCCGUCUGCUAUGGCACUCCUUGACACAAAGAAUGAUCAAAUAAAAACAACAUGUUGGUAUUUGGUAAAAUUUAUACAGAGAGGCAGCUGGCUUUUUUUUUUUUUUUUUCCCACGAAGUCUAAUCCAAUCCAACGGUCCUGGCAAUAAAUAUUAUGGAUAUGAAGGUCCAGAGUGAGCACACUUUUUUUUCACAAAUCCCACUCCAGUGCCUAAGGAAUCACACAAUUUCAGAUUUGGAAAAGUGCUCCAUGGCCAAGCCCGUGGCCCCCAAACUUCCCUUUCCCAACAUCCGUAGGAAGAGGUCAUCCCACUGGGGUCGGAGUCCUCCUUCCCAGGGCAGCACACUUCUCUCAAGGUGGGGCGGCUCCAACUGUUGGGCUUGCCUCUUGAUAAUUUCCUUUUUGCUUCUCCCCCGCUCUCAGAAACAAACAGAACAAGUCCAUUUUGAGUCCAUGAGUCUCCAGUGCCCAGCACAUAGGAAGCACUUCCUAAAGUUUGCCAUCCUUCACCAUUCCUAGUUCCUUUGGCCCAUGGGUCAUGAACUGAAGGCCUUGCUCCAUCCCAAUUUACCUUCUGGGAAUGUCAUCCCACUUGCCAGCACUUCCCAAAGACAAGGCUACGAAGGACCACGGGUCUCCAGCUGGGAGCGUGGCUCGGCAGGGACUCACUUAGUCUUUCUCGGGGGAUGCUCCAGACCACACUGUAGGUUUAUGGAAUCCAAGACGUGGACCUGGAGGCGUCCCAAAGGUGCACCUCUCACGGUGCACGGGGGAAUCCUAAGGUCUGACUCAAUGCUGGAGUGAUUUGCCCUGAAUCCCAAGAGCAGUAACACUCUGACUCCUGACUCCAAGCCCGUCUGCCAGCUACACAGUCUGUUCCGCAUGUGGAGUGCCGUGCUCAGCUGGGGGGUCCAGUUAGAGGACGUGGAGGGCGUUUGGCAAAGGGCGAUUCAUACGGCAGAAGGAUGGGCUGGGAGGAGUGGUGGUGGUCCUCCCGGAGAAGAGGAGGUGGGGGAGGGAUGGAAGCUGCCUUUUUACUCCUUGUUCUGUUUGGCUCCUGAGGGCAGAACUGGGAGGGAUGGCCUUAAUUACAGGCCGCUGUGCUGGGUAGUGAGCUCUCCAUCCCUGAAGGUCUUCAAGCAAAGGUUGGAUUGUCGCUUGUUGGGGACGCUGCAGUGGGGAAUCUUCUUGGAUCUCAGUUAAGUUUGAUGGCCAACUAUGAGAUUUGAGCUCUUCCUUCCUGCCUUCCAUGAUGAAUAUCAAACAGACAGAACUUCCCAGCAGAACGGCCUCUUCCACACGGUGUGAAGACAAGGAAGGUGGGAGCUUUCUGAGAGGACAUGACCGGCCUUGAAGCUCAAAGUCGGCUGCCGGGGAAUGUGAAGUUUGCAUCCUGGUAUUAAAAGAAUCCAAAGUGGCUAAUGUGGAGAUAGGUUUUGCAUGAUUUCACAUGUAUAAUUAAUAUCAUGUUGUUUGCAUCUUCAAUAGGUGGGGAAGGAGGAGGGAGAUUUAACAGGAAAAGGCUAUAAAUGACAAAUUUUGACUCCCCCCCCCCCCAAUUCUCUUCCUCUGCUUAUUCCACCCUCAACUUCCAAACUCCAGAAACCAUAUGUGGAACCUCACUUAUGCCUGCUUCACCAACAAUGGGAAAUGGAAAUUUAAAAGGCAAUUAGUCUUGCUCUUUGAUCCCACCAAGAGUGGUAGAAAGAGCACAAAACUUGGAAUUAAAAGUCAAGCCCAGAACUUGGAAUUAAAAGUCAAGCGCAGAACAGGUACUUCCCUCCUUCGGUGGGGGGGAAGGGGGCUGAAUUAAUGGCCGUGGGAUGUUGGGAACACCGUCAGGUGCAGGCGGUGGGCUACUCAGUUCGAAUAAACUGGAACUUGUUUUCUGUU